rnacentral:lncRNA from 1 species
AUCUUGUUUUAUUGACUAUGUGUGCCUGCUAUAUUACAACUGUCUAAGAUUACUUCCAAACUUCUUCCUGUUACAAAUAUUCGGAGACAUUCCUUCAUUCAAGAAAAGUGGCCUUGCUCUUAUGUCAUCUGACUAAAAGUUUCAUAGACCAAAGAUAACCAUCCAACCUGUUGGAAUACUGAAACAAUUGCUGCCUGCUUUCCACACACUACAUAAAAUAUGUGGAUAUCCUAAAUUCUACAAAAAAGAUUUGUAAGCAGAUCAAGCAAUACUGGGACUCUCUCUUCUCCAGAAGACAGAGACAUCCUGGCCUCCAUGCAGAGGAAUGUGUGGAUGGACAUAUAUUUAAGGAAGACACUAAACCAGAAAAUACUACAUUACACCCUCUUAAAAGACUUCUAAGAUUGUUGUCAUGCCUACCACUGACAUUCAGAUGAUGUGUAUUCUUGAUUGUGAUUUCAUGUUUGGAGCUGAUGAAGGAACCCAGGAGAAGAACAUAUGCCUGAGAAAAAGAACUAGUGUGGAAUUGUCAGCCAGGUUUUUGGUGAGUGCUCAGACUGCUUCCUGAUCCGGCACCACAUUUACUACAGUGGACAGAUGCUCUAGUCUCUGAUGAGGAGUUGCUAGCUGUAAGGAAGUACCUGGAAUGGGCUCCACUGCAUGAGGUUUGAAGUCUCCAGAGCAGCAAGGAGAGUGGGGAGUAGAACUCAUCAUCUUUAGGUCACUCAUCCCCGAUGGAUUGUUCCCAACCUUAGUAUACAGACAUGGAUGGUUGAACACAAACCUGUCAGGCUGACAACGCAAUAGACAUCUACUAAAGUCCUUGGAACCAUGUUCAGAGUGCUGCACAUCCUCCUAAAGAUGCCACGGAUGACAUGGUUCCUUGUGAUUGUUGUUCUCUUCUUGUUGUUGCUGUUUUCUUUUAACUUUUGAAGAGGAUACAAUAUUAGUCUGUUGCUAUGUUAGUCAUCUCCUGGCAUUAGAAACCAACAUGCCACUACUUAAAUGUUUUACAUUUCCUACUCUUUUUGGAAAACACAAUGUAUGCACAUCAUUUUUUCCUAUUGUUUCAAAGACAUACCACUAUGUAAUUCAACUUUACAAUUGGAAUCAUUUUGACCAAUAUUCACAUGAAUAUAAAUUUUAUGUGUAAACUU